AGAGUUUGAUCAUGGCUCAGGACGAACGCUGGCGGCGUGCCUAAUACAUGCAAGUCGAGCGGACGUUUUUGAAGCUUGCUUCAAAAACGUUAGCGGCGGACGGGUGAGUAACACGUGGGCAACCUACCUUAUCGACUGGGAUAACUCCGGGAAACCGGGGCUAAUACCGGAUAACAUCUAGCACCUCCUGGUGCCGGAUUAAAAGAGGGCUUCUUGCUCUCACGAUGAGAUGGGCCCGCGGCGCAUUAGCUAGUUGGAGAGGUAAUGGCUCCCCAAGGCGACGAUGCGUAGUCGACCUGAGAGGGUGAUCGGCCACACUGGGACUGAGACACGGCCCAGACUCCUACGGGAGGCAGCAGUAGGGAAUCUUCCGCAAUGGACGAAAGUCUGACGGAGCAACGCCGCGUGAGUGAUGAAGGGUUUCGGCUCGUAAAGCUCUGUUAUGAGGGAAGAACACGUACCGUUCGAAUAGGGCGGUACCUUGACGGUACCUCAUCAGAAAGCCACGGCUAACUACGUGCCAGCAGCCGCGGUA
rnacentral:rRNA from 1 species